AUUCACAUUUGGCGCGCUCUGGCACCAUGCGCCCUGGGGGUAGAUGCUAGAAUCAAGUGGGCUAAGGGACCUUUUCCGUAAAGGGGAGGAGUUACGACGCAAGGGGGAGGAGCUAGGCCAGCGGGAUAGUUCCUCUACUAUCCACGCCACCAACUAUUACCUUUAGUAAUUGGGUGGUGAGCGGAGCGGAGCGAGCCACCGUGCCCGAAGCGUGGCGAGCGAAGCAAGCCCGCGAGGGUACUUUUCGGGUACCCUGUUCGCCCGUAGCUCCUCCCCUGGUAACGUAGCUCCUCCCCUCAAUACGUCACAAGGUCCCUUCAGCCCCUCCGAUAUAGAACCAACCAUGCGCUGGGUGGUUGAAAACUACUUAAGGAAAUCAUGGUCCUAGUGGUCCUGGAGGUCAUGGUGGUCCAGGUGGUCCUAGUGGUUCUGAUGGUCCUGGAGGUCUUGAUGGUCCUGAAGGUCCAGGCAGUAACGGCGGUCAUGGCUUCUAUCCGUUUGACAACCAAAAUGUAACCGGACUGCCCCCACAUUACAACGUUUCUCUUGGCAUCAACCCUCCAAGACACGGCAGAGAUGAUCCUAGAGGUCCUGGUGGUCCUGAAGGUCCAGACGGUAACGACAGUCAUGGCUUCUAUCCAUUUGACAACAAAAAUGUAACUGGACUGCCCCCACAUUAUAACGUUUCUCUUGGCAUCAACCCUCCAAGACACGACAGAGAUGGUCCUGGUGGUCCUGAAGGUCCAGGCGGUAACGGCAGUCAUGGCUUCUAUCCAUUUAACAACCAAAAUGUAACUGGACUGCCCCCACAUUAUAACGUUUCUCAUGGCAUCAACCCUCCAAGACACGGCAGAGAUGGUCCUGGAGGUCCUGGUGGUCCUGAAGGUCCAGGCGGUAACGGCAGUCAUGGCUUCUAUCCAUUUAACAACCAAAAUGUAACUGGACUGCCCCCACAUUAUAACGUUUCUCAUGGCAUCAACCCUCCAAGACACGGCAGAGAUGGUCCUGGAGGUCCUGGUGGUCCCAAUUGAAAUGAAACCAACAUUAAAAUGUGGAUAUGCAGCUCCAGCAAUAACAACAGUAAACUCAUAGCAUGUAGUGUUAAAUGCAAAUAAACAGAAAGCUAAAAUAAAA